UGUGGCAGACCAGUGCAGUAAAUUUAAGAUUUUCUUACAAAGUUAUCUUUCUUUAGAA
rnacentral:tRNA from 1 species